GCGGGUAUAGCUCAGUGGUAGAGUGCAUGCCUAGCAUGCAUGAGGUCCUGGGUUCAAUUCCCAGUACCUCUA
rnacentral:tRNA from 1 species